ensembl:lncRNA
GCUAAACUGGGUUCUUUAAAAAGUAGGAAAAGACAGGUGUUCAUGGGAAAUUCAGUGUGUUACUUGUGCUGUUACUUCUUAGCGUCUUACUAAAUUCUUAUAUGCCCUUCAAAACUCAAAAUAAAGGCCCCAAAUUCUAUGAUUACUUCUUCAAUGAACUCCCAUUAUUCAUCUUUGGGGCACAUUUUAUCUCAUUUACCAGAUUCGGUUCAAAAUUUUUUAUUUCUGUGCAUGUCUUCUCUUUCCAGACAUUGAACUUCUUGAGGCUGACGCUGUGUCUCUGUGAGGUUCUGGGGGGUGGGGCAGGGGCAGUAGAUCAAAAAGAUGAGUUGGACUAGAGCUUUGAAUUCUGCAUUGUUGGGGCUCGGAGUGGGGACAGGGAAGGGCAAGGAAGGAGAGAUUGCAAAGGGGCACAGGGAAACUUUUAGGAGUGGAGAACAUUCUCAUUACCUUGAUUUGUGAUGAUACGUUCACGGGUGUGUACCUACGUCAAAACUUAUCCAAUUGUACACUUCAAGUAUGUGCAGUUUAUUAUAUGUCAAUUAUACCUCAAUAAAUUCAUUAAAAAUUUCAUAUUGUUCAAGUCCUUGAUAAAGAGCUCUUUCUAGAAAUAAGACGAUGGGACCAAGAAUGCAUACCUAAAUAUGCCAGCAGGUAAAGGCUUUGAAGAUGCUGGACUUAUGCCUGAAAGGCCAGGAGAAUUUUACUUGGUUUGUAUCGUUCAGAGUGGUUCCUGUGGGCUAUACAGUUGGGCAGCCACCUAGAUUCUAGCAGUUUUAGUAAGUGCUUUCUUGAUUUUAUUCAAAUGUCUCAGUAUUCCCCAACCACCCAACCAGGCUCUCAUGUUGACUUUCAGCCAUUAUGACAUGUUAUCGUCAAUCAUCAGGUCCUGUUAGCAAGAGGGCCUAUGUCAUGGCCGCCUGUCUUCAUAUAUAAAGGGAGUAUGAGUGGGCUGCUUUGGACAAAUGGACUUGGAGUGAGGGAGGGGGAACCAAAAGAGGCUGCUGUUACAGCAAGAACCCCACUCCUGGCCAGAGUUGGGGGAUGUGAGAAGAUGGUGAAAUCCCUUAGAUGUAAGUGUUCAACAUGCCAUCUGAAGGAUUUACCAAAGAGACAAAAAGCAAAGAAGUUAUGCCAGAACAGGAACAGGAAGACAAGGUAUUGAUGACAUUUUCUGAUUACAAGAGACUCUCAGACCUGAGGAAUUGUCAUCCUAGCUUGGCAAAUGUUCCAAAAUGUCACACCUUUGUCAAAGCACAGCUCUCCAUUCACCUUCCAGAGACUGUCUCUCACUUUUCCCUAGCACUCCCUCCUUCCCCCCAAGAAACCAGCUCUUCCCCCACUUCCCCACCAAUCCUGCAAAGAACUAGAUUUUCUGUGUUCAUCACUUGUCUUCUUGAUGCUGGAGAGCCUCUUUCUAAUCUUGCGCAUUCAGAAGAGAGGUUGACAUAGCCCUUGGACCUACCUUUUUGAAGUCAGCAGCAAAUGUCAGUGCUCUGGUUGAAGCCGCUGCUUGAAUCCAUGUUUUUCCACAUCGUGUUUUCUUCCAUGGCCAGUGAAAAGAAAAACCUCUUUUGGUGCAGGCCCAAGACCACCAUAAUCAUCAUUGAUUUUUCCUCUCUGCCUCAGGUCUCUAAAUAAAAUUCCUCUCCUUUCACUGACAAA